rnacentral:rRNA from 1 species
AUUACUCCUACGGGAGGCAGCAGUGGGGAAUAUUGCACAAUGGGCGGAAGCCUGAUGCAGCAACGCCGCGUGAGUGAAGAAGGUCUUCGGAUUGUAAAGCUCUGUCUUUUGGGACGAUAAUGACGGUACCAAAGGAGGAAGCCACGGCUAACUACGUGCCAGCAGCCGCGGUAAUAAU